rnacentral:piRNA from 1 species
UGCCACUUUGGAUGUAGACUCCU